UUCUGGGUCGGGGUUUCGUACGUAG
rnacentral:piRNA from 7 species